rnacentral:rRNA from 1 species
CUCGGCUCUCGCAUCGAUGAAGAACGUAGCGAAAUGCGAUACUUGGUGUGAAUUGCAGAAUCCCGUGAACCAUCGAGUUUUUGAACGCAAGUUGCGCCCAAAGCCAUUAGGCUAAGGGCACGUCUGCCUGGGCGUCACGCAUCACGUUGCCCCAACCCCCA